UACGAAGGGGACUAGCGUUGUUCGGAUUUACUGGGCGUAAAGCGCGCGUAGGCGGAUCGCUAAGUCAGGGGUGAAAUCCCAGGGCUCAACCCUGGAACUGCCUUUGAUACUGACGAUCUGGAGAUCGGGAGAGGUUGGUGGAAUUCCGAGUGUAGAGGUGAAAUUCGUAGAUAUUGGGAGGAACACCGGUGGCGAAGGCGGCCCCCUGGACCGGUACUGACGCUGAGGCGCGAAAGCGUGGGUAGCAAACGGG
rnacentral:rRNA from 1 species